GACGAACGCUGGCGGCAUGCCUAACACAUGCAAGUCGAACGGCGAUUAUUUCGGUAAUCUUCGUUGCGAACGGGUGAGUAACGCCUGGGCACCCUUCCCUCUAGAUGUGGACAACAUCCCGAAAGGGGUGCUAAUACCGAAUGUGACAGCAAUCUCGCAUGUGGAUGCUGUUUCAGAUGUCCUCUAUUUCUUUGCUAUCUCUAGAGGAUGGUCCUGCUUCUGAUUAUGUAGUUGGUGGGGUCACUGCCUACCAAGGCGAUGAUCAUUAUCCGGUCUGAGAGGAAGAACCGCCAAAUUGGGAAUGGGACAAGGGCCAGAAGCCUAAGGGAGGCAGCAGUGGGGAAACUUGCGAAAUGGGCGGAAGCCGGACGGAGGAAAGACGGGGGAGUGAUGAAGGAAUUCGUGCCGUAAAGCUCUUUUGUUUAGGAAGAAAGAGCAGAAUGUGAACAAUGAGCUGUAAUGACGGUAGUAAACGAAUAAGCCACGGCUAACUACGUG
rnacentral:rRNA from 1 species